rnacentral:rRNA from 1 species
CGUGCCUANCACAUGCAAGUCGAACGAGAAAGCUCCUUCGGGAGUGAGUAGAGUGGCGCACGGGUGAGUAACGCGUGGAUAAUCUACCUACGAGUUCGGGAUAACUUCGCGAAAGUGGAGCUAAUACCGGAUGGUCUGGCAUUUAUAUCUUAGAUGUCGGUAAAGAUAGCCUCUUCCUGAAAGCUAUUGCUUGUAGAUGAGUCCGCGUCUCAUUAGCUAGUUGGUAGGGUAACGGCCUACCAAGGCAGCGAUGAGUAGCUGGUCUGAGAGGAUGAUCAGCCACACUGGAACUGGAACACGGUCCAGACUCCUACGGGAGGCAGCAGUGGGGAAUAUUGGGCAAUGGGCGCAAGCCUGACCCAGCAACGCCGCGUGAGCGAAGAAGGCCUUCGGGUCGUAAAGCUCUGUCCUAAGGGAAGAAGUAUGACGGUACCUUAGGAGGAAGCCCCGGCUAACUACGUGCCAGCAGCCGCGGUAAUACGUAGGGGGCGAGCGUUAUCCGGAAUCACUGGGCGUAAAGGGUGCGUAGGCGGCCGAGUAAGCCAGAGGUGAAAGGCUACGGCUUAACCGUAGUAAGCCUUUGGAACUACUUGGCUUGAGUGCAGGAGAGGAGAGUGGAAUUCCUAGUGUAGCGGUGAAAUGCGUAGAUAUUAGGAGGAACACCAGUGGCGAAGGCGACUCUCUGGACUGUAACUGACGCUGAGGCACGAAAGCGUGGGGAGCAAACAGGAUUAGAUACCCUGGUAGUCCACGCCGUAAACGAUGAGUGCUAGGUGUCGGGGGUUCACACCCUCGGUGCCGGAGUUAACGCAAUAAGCACUCCCGCCUGGGGAGUACGGUCGCAAGACUGAAACUCAAAGGAAUUGACGGGGACCCGCACAAGCAGCGGAGCAUGUGGUUUAAUUCGAAGCAACGCGAAGAACCUUACCAGGACUUGACAUCCCUUUGACAGCACCUUAACCGGAGCCUUCCCUUCGGGGACAAAGGAGACAGGUGGUGCAUGGUUGUCGUCAGCUCGUGUCGUGAGAUGUUGGGUUAAGUCCCGCAACGAGCGCAACCCUUGCCUUUAGUUGCCAUCAGUAAGGCUGGGCACUCUAGAGGGACUGCCGGUGACAAACCGGAGGAAGGUGGGGAUGACGUCAAAUCAUCAUGCCCCUUAUGUUCUGGGCUACACACGUGCUACAAUGGCUGGUACAACGGGCAGCGAAGGAGUAAUCCGGAGCGAAUCCUACAAAGCCAGUCCUAGUUCGGAUUGUGGGCUGCAACUCGCCCACAUGAAGCCGGAGUUGCUAGUAAUCGUGAAUCAGAAUGUCGCGGUGAAUGCGUUCCCGGGUCUUGUACACACCGCCCGUCACACCAUGGGAGCUCAGGGCACCCGAAGUCAGCACUAGGCGCAAGCUGAAGCUGCCGAAGGUGAAAUGAGUGACUGGGGUGAAGUCGUAACAAGG